UGGAGAAGAAAGGACUCGCAGGAGAAGACCCUGAUGCCAGGAACGACUGACGGCAAAAGGAAAAGGGGACAGCAGAGGUUGAGGUGGCUGGAUGGGGUCACUGGGGCGGUGGGUGUGGGCUUGGGUGGACUCCAGGGGAUGGUGAGGACAGGA